CAAAAAUACACUAAUUGUAACUAACGAACGUCGGAACUGCAUGCACUGCAAGCCAGCGCUACACUACGUGCGUGCAACAAGAAGUCCACCAGUGACAUCAAAGCCUAAUUCAGAUGACAAGAAGAAUGUGGGAAUAAUAGCUGGAGCCGGUAC